GGGGGAGGGACCGUCCACUCAUGCACAUCCCCACACACAACCCGAUCUCCCUGCAGCCUGUCAACAUUUACUGCGAAGCGACCGGGACUCCUCCGGGGAUGACCGCCGGCCGGCCGGCGCGCACCGACUUGGGCUCAAUUGGUGACCUACUUUUACCCCCCCCCCCCCAAGACUUUCUCAUUUUCCUGUAGGUGAGUGGCUUGUGUUAUGGUCUGGUUGCUGACUAUUUAUGAGCUAGUACAUGCUUUGCAGGAGAGAAGGAGGACAACAAACUAAAAGGCUCUCCAUGUGGCACAGGAAGUGAAUUUUGUGGAAGCCUCCACUGAGCUCUUCUCUCUCCCCAUUCUGGCUAUGGAGCAUGAAGUGAGGAUGGGGCUGUCGGCGUGGGCCAUCGCCGCCAUCGUUUGCAACUCGGCGGUGGGCGUCCUCAUCCUCAUCCUCUUCGUCGUCCUGUACAAGGCCUGCCAGGUGCCAUCCAAACCGGCGCCCGUCUUCACGUCCGAACCGGCGAAGAAGCAGCAGAAGUCUGAGCACAAGUAUCUUCUAGCAGCCUGAUGGUGACAAAGCCAACCAAAAAGGAGCUCCUCUUUUGUCUUAUAAUAUUUCGAGGCUAUCACCGUGCUGCAGCUUCGUGUGCAAAUACUCUAAGCAAGACCAAGCCGGCCGGCCCAAUCCUCUUAUCCCUGCGGUGCGUCUCUGGGACUGUCCAUCUGUCAGUCUAUUUGCUCUGCGGCUCGCUCAUUUUCAGAGGAAUACCACAAACUUGAGUGGUGGUGUUGGCUAGAAGGAGAAAUCACAUGAGGGUGAAAGCCUUUUUAUUUUAUUUUUUUAUAGACAGGAGUUCAACCUUUGCUAAAAAGUCCUAUGUGAUAAAUUGUGGGAGCAAAUAUUACUUUGUCUUAAUGUGCCUUACUUUGAUUGCUGCCGUUUAUUCAGUGUACUGGCAAUAAUAGACAGAGCAAAGCAGUACGUUUUUUUAUUGCGCAUUAAUCAGGACAAGAUGUCAUAUUCAUUUAUAACCGCCACUGAUGUCUUCACGAGAAAUCAGUUUGGGAAUUGUAUGUUGAGUUUCGAAGUUUAUAACUCGCCGAUUUUCAUUGGAAUAGACUCCAUAAAAAAACGGUCGCAGUACAUUCCAUCAACACGGCGGACAUGCUAAAAGAUUUAUUGGAAGCAAUUUUUUUCCAUUAGGGUGAAAUAAAGCAUUUCAAAGACAGCCAGUUGUUUUCACAUUUUGUUAACAAUGAAUUAAAGCCUCAAUUCUGAGAACUAA